AUUGAACGCUGGCGGCAGGCCUAACACAUGCAAGUCGAACGAGUGGCGGACGGGUGAGUAAUGUCUGGGAAACUGCCUGAUGGAGGGGGAUAACUACUGGAAACGGUAGCUAAUACCGCAUACCAUCAGAUGUGCCCAGAUGGGAUUAGCUAGUUGGUGGGGUAACGGCUCACCAAGGCGACGAUCCCUAGCUGGUCUGAGAGGAUGACCGGCCACACGGGAACUGAGACACGGCCCAGCCUCCGACGGGAGGCAGCAGUGGGGAAUAUUGCACAAUGGGCGAAAGCCGGAUGCAGCAAGGCGGCGUGGUGGAGGAGGGCCUUCGGUUUGUAAAGUACUUUCAGCGGGGAGGCGUUACCCGCACAAGAAGCAACGGCUAACUCCGUGCCAGCAGCCGCGGUAAUAC
rnacentral:rRNA from 1 species